GAUUAGCAGCAAUGGGAAAAUCCAAACACUAUGAAGAUAAGCGAUAUAAAAGCAGCGAUAAUCUUACGUCGACCAUUGCUUUGGCAUAUUUCCUGGCUUUGUCUUUUGGAUGCAUAUGUAUGCAGACACACAAAUCAGGGGUUCUGUUUUGUACUUGCAAACUGUGUACUGACGGCGCCCGUGCCGCUCUCCCGACCUCGCGACGCCGUCCCGCCUCCACGUGAAGCCGCUGGGCGUGUUACCCUCCGCCCAGGGCCGCAGCAUGCUUACUCCUUAGUUGUGAAGUCAGCGCGGCCCAGGAAGCGGAGCAAGAAGGGGGCCAUUUAGGACCACACAAGAUAAAAUGGGCCGUGAGUCCAUAACAUCCCAGUCGGUGGUGAGGAGCGCCGAGGGCGGCGGCCGGUGGCGUUCACCCUGGGCGUGGGACGCGUUAGGCUCCUUCAGAGUUGCUAAACCGCCCCAACUGAGAAGAAGGAGGGCAUUGUCUCCAUCGGAAGCUGUUUUCACUCCCACUCGGCAGAUGAGAAGGCCAAGGCUUAGAGGUGACGCCGUCUCGCCACGCUGGGUUGGGGUGUGGAUAAGCACAGGGCUGGUGAGCGCGGCGAGCACACGUCUGCACCAGGUCGCAGUGAGCUGCUCUCGGUGCGCUUCGUUAGGCCCUGCAGAUGGGGAAGACAGGAAAUAGCUACCUUUCGCGGGGCUCUUUAAUGUGGUUCUUCCACAGCCAUCUGUGCAACCCACUGCAAGGGACCGCGGCCUCCCAGUCGUGUCUUGAAUCGUGUGUGUGACAGUUGCUCCCAUAACGGCUCCUUCUUGGAAGAUCAAAGGCUACCAGACACUGGAGAAUAGAG
rnacentral:lncRNA from 1 species